rnacentral:rRNA from 1 species
GAUGAACGCUAGCGGCAGGCCUAAUACAUGCAAGUCGGACGGGAUUCCGGAGCUUGCUUCUGAUGAGAGUGGCGCACGGGUGCGUAACACGUAUGUAACCUACCUUUAUCAGGGGGAUAGCCUCUCUAAAGAGAGAUUAAGCCCGCAUAAAAUCACAGCACAGCAUUGUGUACUGAUCAAAUAUUUAUAGGAUAAAGAUGGUCAUGCGGAACAUUAGCUAGAUGGCGGGGUAACGGCCCACCAUGGCGACGAUGUUUAGGGGAUCUGAGGGGAUGGCACCCCACACUGGUACUGAGACACGGACCAGACUCCUACGGGGGGCAGCAGUAAGGAAUAUUGGUCAAUGGGCGGAAGCCUGAACCAGCCAUGCCGGGUGCAGGAAGACGGCCCUACGGGUUGUAAACUGCUUUUAUACGGGAAGAAACCCAGAUACGUGUAUCUGGCUGAAUGUACUGUAAGAAUAAGGAUCGGCUAACUCCGUG